UACGGGGGGAGCAAGCGUUGUUCGGAUUUACUGGGCGUAAAGGGCGCGUAGGCGGUGCUCUAAGUCAGACGUGAAAGCCCUGGGCUCAACCCGGGAAUUGCGCUUGAUACUGGAGCGCUUGAAUCCAGGAGAGGUUGGUGGAAUUCCCAGUGUAGAGGUGAAAUUCGUAGAGAUUGGGAAGAACACCGGUGGCGAAGGCGGCCAACUGGACUGGUAUUGACGCUGAGGCGCGAAAGCGUGGGGAGCAAACAGG
rnacentral:rRNA from 1 species